rnacentral:rRNA from 1 species
CCUACGGGAGGCAGCAGUAGGGGAUAUUGCACAAUGGGGGAAACCCUGAUGCAGCGACGCCGCGUGGGGGAAGGAGGGUUUCGGCGCGUAAACCCCUAUCGGCAGGGAAGAAGAUGACGGUACCUGACCAAUAAGCACCGGCUAACUCCGUGCCAGCAGCCGCGGUAAUACGGAGGGUGCAAGCGUUACCCGGAUUUACUGGGUGUAAAGAGGGCGCAGACGGGAAUGCAAGUCAGGUGUGAAAGCCCAUGGCACAACCCUAGGACUGCAUUUGGAACUGCUAGUCUGGAGUAUGGGAGGGGUAGGUGGAAUUCCUGGUGUAGGGGUAAAAUCCGUAGAGAUUAAGAGGAACACUCGUUGCGAAGGCGGCCUGCUAGAACGUGACUGACGUUGAGGCCCGAAGGCGUGGGGAGCAAACAGGAUUAGAUACCCUUGUAGUC